rnacentral:rRNA from 1 species
UACAGAGGUCUCAAGCGUUGUUCGGAUUCAUUGGGCGUAAAGGGUGCGUAGGCGGCGCGGUAAGUCGGGUGUGAAAUCUCGGAGCUUAACUCCGAAACUGCAUUCGAUACUGCCGUGCUUGAGGACUGGAGAGGAGACUGGAAUUUACGGUGUAGCGGUGAAAUGCGUAGAUAUCGUAAGGAAGACCAGUGGCGAAGGCGGGUCUCUGGACCGGAACUGACGCUGAGGCGCGAAAGCGUGGGGAGCAAACAGG